GUCCAGCCUCAAUAAAUAUUAAACAAGGGAAAAAUUAUGAGCUAAGAUGUUUCUCUGAUGUAGGAUGUACCUCAUAUUCCCAAAUGCUUGGUGUUAAUUGAGGUUUCUGUUAUUUGUGUCUCAUCUUCAUUGGUGAUUUUUGUGACUUGCAAGUGAAUAUGCCACUAUAUAUGGCCCCAGAUGUAUUCAAGAGCACCCUUAUCAGACCUUUUCAUUAUUGUUUCUAUUUACCCUCCAUCUCCAGGCUGGUCCCAGGGACAUUUUCUUAUGUAAAUAAAUUGUUAAUCAUGUAUUAAUGCUACUUUAUUGUUUGUGUUUCAGGAAUCCAAGACCAAAGAAGAUGUUAAAGAACCAGAUGUGUCAGAAGAAUUGGAUACAAAACUCCCUCUUGAUG
rnacentral:lncRNA from 1 species